rnacentral:rRNA from 1 species
UACGUAGGGGGCAAGCGUUGUCCGGAAUUACUGGGCGUAAAGAGUUCGUAGGCGGUUUGUCGCGUCGUUCGUGAAAACUUGGGGCUUAACUCCAAGCGUGCGGGCGAUACGGGCAGACUUGAGUACUACAGGGGAGACUGGAAUUCCUGGUGUAGCGGUGAAAUGCGCAGAUAUCAGGAGGAACACCGGUGGCGAAGGCGGGUCUCUGGGUAGUAACUGACGCUGAGGAACGAAAGCGUGGGUAGCGAACAGG